ensembl:lncRNA
CGGGGUGGUUUGUGGGGCCGAGCCAGACGAGCCGGCCAGGGGUCAGCAUCUUGUGGCAAAUGUGCUUCAUCCCUAAACGCCAUCAGGUUUGUGGGCACGCUUCUGCCAGAGGGAUCGAAAAUGCCUGAAGCGUUGCUUCUGGGAAGACGCUGGAUAACGCGGAUUCAAACAAGGCAUUAAAGCAACUGUGCUCACGCUUUCGCAGCAGAGAAUGGAGAUGGGAGCACUCCCUGCCUGCCCUGGGCUCAUGGAUGUGCAAUUCUCAGAAGUACUUGAUCGUGUCGCCUGAUUUUAAAUUGUUGUACUCUGAACUAGGAAUGCUGCUGGAUGGUUUGGAGUUGGAUACCUGGGUGCAGUACUCCAAUGCUAAUUAAAAAGAAGUAUGCCAAACAUGAGGGUCUGGUCUCCCAACCCUUCUUCAUGGAAUGUGAGCCUGAGGGUGAGCGGAGGUGUUAAAAUUUGGGACCUACCUGACUGUGAGCUACGUAUGAGUCACCUUCAAGACAGGGUAGCUGACUCCUGCAGUAACUGGAAUCUGUGCAGCGCUGUGAAAUGCUAGUUUAGAGAGCGGACGUAAUAGCACUCUCACUCACAACCAAGAAUGCAAUCAGCCUCCUCCUUUCUGGAUGGGAACCGUGUUAGGAGCCAGGCUCACUCCAUGAGCCCACUUUUCUGGGAGAAAAAGCAAUGUGGCAAGAAAUGUACAUGCCCAGACCAAAUGGCAGCAAACUUAUGGUAAAGUCCCUGCAUAUAAUCUAUAUUUUAAUUAAUACUCUGCAUUAUCUAAUCAACAGAAAUCUUCUGGCACGCACGGUCUGGUUUGCAACCUAUUCAGCAGAGAAGCUUUUCUAGCCUCUCCAUAGAUCAGAGUAAUUAAGCAAAGCUGCUGCAGGGGCUUCCCCCCAUAGCUUCUUGAAUACUGGGAGUGGGGGAAUGGCACUGAAAAAACCCAGGCAACCUCUGGCAACCUCCCUCAGCCCUGGAAGGCUCUCUGGAAGAGAAAGAGGGGAAAAAAAUUGCCUUCCUUUGCUGCUGCUGUUGAGCUGGUCUCGCUCCCGCUGUCGCAGUGCCAGUGCCGAAAGCCCAUGCUGCAUCCCUCACUCGGAGCGUACUGUCCGUCCUAGAGCAGAUGCAAAGGCGGCACUGGGACCGCUCAACUUCAGAGCCUCUCCAGCAGCCUCCCAAGGAGAAGAGCACAGCUCUCCUCACAAUAUGCUGUGGGGGAGGAGGAAGGAAGGACUUUGGCCCUGUUUGCUUGUGCUAAUUGAUGGCUUCUGUUGCAGCUAUUCACACUUUUAAAAGAUGGUAACAAGUCUACUGAUUUAAAAGCAAAGAAUAAAAACCCACCAGCCUCAGCAGUGCGUUGGGUGCAGACAAAGGUUCGUUGAAGAGCACUCGGCAGAGGCACAGCAAGGGGCUGGGCAGAAGAAAUGACCCACCUGAAAACACUGAGCUCUGUGCAGAUGCACAAAAUUCCUAAAAUAUUCCACUUGUUGGGAUAUACGGGGACAUUCUCCUCUACAGUGGUGGGCUUGCAAGUCAGGGCUCAGCCCUGGCAGUGGCCUGCUCUGUGCUUAACCUCCAUGCCUCACCUUGCUCAGCUGUGAUGGCUUCUGACUUCUUUAUAAAACAUGUUCUGUGCCUCUGACUUUAGUGCUCUCCAAGUGAGAAACAUCUUACUUCAUGCAGCCUCCUCUCUGUGUACCGGGUCUCCUGUGCUGGUGUGGACAGGUGCCCUAGAGCUGUUUGGAGAAGGGCUCUGCACCCUGGCUCUCCCACCCUUUUCCUUGCAGGCAGAUAUUGUCUUCUUCUGCUGGGAGAGCACUGUACCUUGCUUAGCAGUUUACAUGGUAAAUCUAUAUUGCAAGUUGGAGGUGUGAUCACAACAUGCCUGGGUGAAACCCUGCUUGCUUUAAUUUAGUGAGCUGAGAUAUUAAUUUCAGAGGAAGAGGCAGCAGUAUGCACUUUGGAGCCUAUGGUCUGGGUGGGCUUGCAGAGCCUGUGGUGUUUCAGCUUCCUGGCAUCGGCACCCAGGCAGCUAGACGGAGCGAGCUGGGAUGCGUGAAUAAGCAGCACAGCAAGAGACAACUGCGCUGAGCAGAGGGAGCUGGGCUCCAGCCACACGCCAGGGAUGCCACGGGCUCAGCGGGGCGAAGCCUGGGCAUUUAACAAAGCCCUGCUGCCUUCUACCCGCCUUCCAGGGGACCCACUCAAUGCACGUCCCUACCAGCAACUCAGUAAUUCUGCUUUAAGGAAGGCAGACCCGGUUAAAGGCACAGGGAAUUUAUCUCUGCCAGAGAGACCCCUGGCAGCCGCCGAGGUGAGUCAGCUGCUGCUGGCUGCUCGUCGGGUGCCUCCGGAGCGGCCGCGGAGGGGGGAGCUGUGUCCUCCCACCCUGCUGCCCUCCCUGCAGCCCUCAGCGGCAUCUGCACACUGGCCUUUGCUUAUUCUUGCAGCCCUCUGCACGCUCAUUGUGAUUCACAUCUGGGUGCACUCAGCCUGGCAAUUCCUUAUUCUGAGAAGGUCACCCGAAAUAUGUGUUUAACAGAAGCGCUCUCUAUUUUUAACAUAGAGAGACCUCAUAAAAAGUCAGAAGAGUAAUGCAAAAUAAUAAACGAGAUAUUUAGUCAUAGCUCUCCAUCACAUUCGCAUUAUAAACAGUUCAGAAAUUAUUUCCACUUGUGAGACAAGAUUUAAUUGUAAAUCAUGGGAAAUUGUGAGAUAUAUACUGUCUGGAGCAGGGUGAUAAACAUAUUUCUGGGUCUGAAGGGAGAAAAUAAAGCAAAACGUGUGUCAUAGUCUGUGUGGACCCUGAGCACAUUUAAACCAAAGUGCAUGCCACCCAGGCAGCAGCUGCUGUUCUCUAGAGCAGGACCAUCAGCUUUCUGCUGAAGGCUCUUUCGUUUUAGCUACACUGAAGAGCACCUUUCUGCUGUGAUUUUGUGGUAACCAAGGCUUUGUUACUGCUUUCUUCCCAUGAAGCUGCUUUUAUUCCAACUUAAGCUGCUCCUUAAGCAGCACAAAACCAGCUCACAACUUAAAUGGCAAAUGCACGGCAGCAACUUUCCUAGCUGCAGAAGGUGAUAUAGACAAAUCUGUUGCUGAUACCAGCAAGUACUGAGCUGAGCCCCUGCUUCUCAUUUGGAGUGCAUUGCCAUGUCUCCUCUGACAUGUUUCUUCAUAGCACUGAAAAAGAAGCACUUGGAGAAACAGCUUUUCUACUUGGAGAAAGCUUUGACUCCAGGGUUGUAACUCAAGUGCUGUAGUAGGUAAUCAGCAGAAAUCAAAGCACUUACAGUUUUUUCCAAUGUAAAAAGAGGAAAAAUCAAUUUCUUUUAAAUAGUGGAAGCUGAUUUUUCAGUUGGAAGAAACCUAUGUGGGGUGAACACUUGGAUUUCUCAUUUAUUUGUGGGUUUCAACUAUUCAGUCGAGUUGGUACUGCUGGUGGAGCAGCCGCUGGUCUUCAUGUGUGUGCUUGUGGACUGCCCACCCUGAGACUGAGCCACCAUCCUUCAGCAAACAGUGCUGCGUCUGUGCCUCCUCUUCUGGCUGUGUGAUUGCCAGAGACAGGGAACAGUCUGCUUCAGUUGGUGCCCUGCUUAUCCAGUGAGUAAAACGAGCAAACAGCAACAGCUUUGAAAGGGGAGCAGCCCCAGUCUGGGAGCAAAGCAGCUCUCCUGGUGCUGAAAACAAAUAGAAUGUGGAAAUGUGGAGAGGAGAAAGGAGCUGUUGGGUUGCACCUAGCCAGGAAGGCUUGAGUACCUACCUGGUUGAAAGCUUGAAAGUUGAUAAGAAAUAGACACUUCUCAGACCUUUUACCUUGCUUUUCCAGGGUAGUACACACACAGGUUCAUACUGCAGUUUUCUUACAAGUUCAUGUAUAUAAUACUUCACAACUGAAAUACUGUACUGAAAUCUAAAGAAAUUUUAAACUUAAUGUUUACAGUACAAUACAGCUGGUUUCCAGCAUCAGGGAAAUUUUAAGACUGGAGUGGUUCUAACUUUACCAUGUCCACCUGAACACCCAAGUAAUGCUACAGAACUGUAUCCUCCUUCACCGCCCUCCUGCAUCCCCUCUCCUGGGCUUACCCAGCUCCAGAAAACAUUGCCUUAUGAUGCACAUAAUUUUUUACUAACUGGAAAUAGGAAUCUUGCUCUAUCCAUUAGUUAGUGUAUAUGCAGUUUGUAUAUAUAAUAUUUAUAUUUUUCCCCAAAGUUGUGAAAUAUAUAAAAUAUAAUUUCUCUAGCUGAGAGCUCAUCAUUCCCAUGACAAGGUGCAAUCAAUAAAUUAUGCACCACUUGUGGUUAUUCUGCAUGUCAACUCAUAUUUCCAUGUCGCUGUCCUGACUGUUACUGAGUGUUUGUGUUGUUGUACCUUUCCACCUCCUCAGUGUUGAUUUAGGAGUUAUUAUUCUGGGCUCAUAGUAACUGCAAGAAAAUCAAGUUCCAAGUGUUUCUGCCAAAAGAAGGAAAUGAAAUGAGCAAGUCAACAGAAAAUUCCACUUGUCAAACACCAUUUGCUUACGACUACAGCUUUGUUAAGGGAACUUGCAUUCGGACAAGUUACCCAAAGGAAACAAUUUGCCUUUGCGGUGGGAUAACCCUUGUGCCCGGCAAGGACUCUUGGUCGCGACAGCUGUGGUCCUCAAAUGAGCGAACAGGAAAAAAAACCAAAGCCACUUCUGACACUUACAAAUUAUAUCUCCUGAAUAAUGCAUGACUCAUCCAGAUUGGCUACAGGAGGGGGGUACGGGGGGGAUGCUUUUUCAAUGGACAACCAGACGGAUGAGGAUUGUAUUAUAAGAAGAGUUUGACAUACCAAGAAGGGGGGAAAAAAAGCAUAAAAAAGCCCAAGUACUCACACACACACUUUGAGAUUGACUGUCAAAUCAUUUCACAUCUGUACCUAAAGCAAACAGACAUAAUGCUAACAGCUUGCUGGAGCUCAGAAAUGCCACCCACUAAUCAGUCCACCUGUGGAAUUCUCAGUCCAUCUUGCAAGUCGUGUACCCGAUUGCCAAGACGCCUGACAAGAAAAUGUAUAUUAAAAUGUUGAGUAAGACUAGAAAUACAAUGUGGUGUAGUAUAAACAGAAUGCACUUACUGGGCAGGAAAACAGAGAUGCUUUCUAAUUCCUCUCACCGUGACCCGGUGCCGCUUGCUCCUGCCUUUGCUGGGACUGGAUGGCAGAGACUGCUUGCUGCCCGAAAGGCACGUUCACCUCCUGUGCAUGAUUGUGUCUCCUCCUGCUUUUGUGAAAAAAAUAAAAAAGAAAAAAAAAAAAAA